GACAGAGGGGGCAAGCGUUGCUCGGAAUUACUGGGCGUAAAGCGCACGUAGGCGGCUUUGUAAGUUAGAGGUGAAAGCCCGGAGCUCAACUCCGGAAUUGCCUUUAAGACUGCAUCGCUAGAAUUGUGGAGAGGUAAGUGGAAUUCCGAGUGUAGAGGUGAAAUUCGUAGAUAUUCGGAAGAACACCAGUGGCGAAGGCGACUUACUGGACACAUAUUGACGCUGAGGUGCGAAAGCGUGGGGAGCAGACAGG
rnacentral:rRNA from 1 species